GUAGAAAAAAUGAGGUUAAGUUAUUCUAUUAAAUCUUAAAAAACCAACGAAAAAGCAGCAUAUAAUUCUCUCCUCUAGAUAUGAUAAUUCUCAUUUAAAGCAUCCAUGGACUCUGUUGAGUGCAUUUUUAGGCUUGUUUUGCACUCAACUUUUGGCACUCUUUUUGGGUAAUUAGAGAUAAUAUAAUUUUUUGGCUAGGCAGAAAUCCACAGCUAUAGCUGUGGAUCUGGAGCUCGAGCUGUGAAAAUUUGGGGAGAAAUUGUGAAGUUCCAGAGACUUGAAGCUAUAGCUGUAGAUCUGGAGCUCGAGCUGUGAAUCUGGAGCUCGAGCUGUGAAUCUGGGGCUCGAGCUGUGGAAAUCUGGAAAGCUGAAGCUCGAGCUGUGAAUCUGGAGCUCGAGCUGUGGAAGUCUGAAAAGGGUCCAGAAAGUUGGAGCUAUAGCUGUGAAUCUACAGCUGUAGCUGUGGAGAUAAAAAUCACUUUUCUGCCCCUAUUUUAAAGCUGAUAUAAACAAAGGAAAAGAGAGAAACAGUGGGGUACAAAAUUAAGGAAAGAAACAAGAAGCACAUGAGCACUCAAUUAAAAAGAGAGACAAGGAGCCUUAAAUUAAGGAGAAACAAACAAGGAAAAAGG